rnacentral:rRNA from 1 species
GGUAUGCUUAACACAUGCAAGUCGAACGCGAAAAUACCUUCGGGUAUGAGUAGAGUGGCGGACGGGUGAGUAAUGCAUAGGAAUCUGCCCAGUAGCGGGGGACAACCUGGGGAAACUCAGGCUAAUACCGCAUACGCCCUACGGGGGAAAGCGGGGGACCUUCGGGCCUCGCACUAUUGGAUGAGCCUAUGUCAGAUUAGCUUGUUGGUGGGGUAAAAGCCUACCAAGGCGACGAUCUGUAGCUGGUCUGAGAGGACGAUCAGCCACACUGGGACUGAGACACGGCCCAGACUCCUACGGGAGGCAGCAGUGGGGAAUAUUGCACAAUGGGCGAAAGCCUGAUGCAGCAAUGCCGCGUGUGUGAAGAAGGCCUGCGGGUUGUAAAGCACUUUCAGUAGGGAGGAAACAGUAACGGAACAAUACCCGUUGCCUUGACGUUACCUACAGAAGAAGCACCGGCUAACUCUGUGCCAGCAGCCGCGGUAAUACAGAGGGUGCAAGCGUUAAUCGGAAUUACUGGGCGUAAAGAGCACGUAGGCGGCGCAGCCAGUCAGAGGUGAAAGCCCCGGGCUCAACCUGGGAAUUGCCUUUGAUACUGCUGUGCUUGAGUCCAUCAGAGGGUGGCGGAAUACCCAGUGUAGAGGUGAAAUUCGUAGAUAUUGGGUAGAACACCAGUGGC